UACGUAGGGGGCAAGCGUUGUCCGGAUUUAUUGGGCGUAAAGAGCGUGUAGGCGGUUAGGUAGGUCCGUUGUGAAAACUCGAGGCUCAACCUCGAGACGCCGAUGGAAACCAUCUGACUAGAGUCCGGAAGAGGAGAGUGGAAUUCCUGGUGUAGCGGUGAAAUGCGCAGAUAUCAGGAGGAACACCCGUGGCGAAAGCGGCUCUCUGGGACGGUACUGACGCUGAGACGCGAAAGCGUGGGGAGCAAACAGG
rnacentral:rRNA from 1 species